GGGUGUUGUUGGAUUUGGCCACGUCGGCCAACGCCGUGGCGUAGCUGGCGGCGGCGGAGGAGUUCAUUCUGGCGCCGAGGGCUCCGCCGCCGUUUCGGCGGAGGGUGACGACGGCGGCGGCGGAGGAGGAGAGCUUGAGGGGGAUGGGGGUGAAGGUGGAGGAGAAGGAGAAGGAGAGGGUGGAGGUUCUGGGGGUGAGGGUGGAGGAGAGUUGUGGUGGGGAUGAUGGGUUUUGGGAUUGGAGAGAGAUUGGGGUGUGUUGGAGGGCGGCCAUUGGUCAAUUGGGUGGCUCUCUUUCUCACUCUCACUCUUGGUUUGAUGAUGCGAAGAGAGA
rnacentral:lncRNA from 1 species